rnacentral:rRNA from 1 species
UACGUAGGUGGCAAGCGUUGUCCGGAUUUACUGGGCGUAAAGGGCGUGCAGGCGGUCGUUCAAGUCGCGUGUGAAAGCCCCCGGCUCAACUGGGGAGGGUCACGCGAUACUGAUCGACUCGAAGGCAGGAGAGGGUAGUGGAAUUCCCGGUGUAGUGGUGAAAUGCGUAGAUAUCGGGAGGAACACCAGUGGCGAAGGCGACUACCUGGACCAAUACUGACGCUCAGGUGCGAAAGCGUGGGGAGCAAACAGG